CAUAUCAAUAAGCGGAGGAAAAGAAACUAACAAGGAUUCCCCUAGUAACGGCGAGUGAAGCGGGAAGAGCUCAAAUUUGAAAUCUGGCAGUCUUCGAUUGUCCGAGUUGUAAUCUAUAGAGGCGUUUUCCGUGCCGGACCGUGUCCAAGUCUCCUGGAAAGGAGUAUCAAAGAGGGUGAUAAUCCCGUACUUAACACGACCACCGGUGCUCUGUGAUACGUCUUCUACGAGUCGAGUUGUUUGGGAAUGCAGCUCAAAAUGGGUGGUGAAUUCCAUCUAAAGCUAAAUAUUGGCGAGAGACCGAUAGCGAACAAGUACCGUGAGGGAAAGAUGAAAAGCACUUUGGAAAGAGAGUUAAACAGUACGUGAAAUUGUUGAAAGGGAAACGAUUGAAGUCAGUCGUGUUCUUUGGAUUCAGCCAGUUCUGCUGGUCUACUUCCUUGGAACGGGUCAACAUCAGUUUUGUCCGGUGGAUAAAGGUAGUAGGAAUGUGACUUCUCCGGAAGUGUUAUAGCCUAUUAUCACAUACACUGGGUGAGACUGAGGACUGCAGCUCGCCUUUAUGGCCGGCCUUCGGGCACGUUCGAGCUUAGGAUGUUGACAUAAUGGCUUUAAACGACCCGUCUU
rnacentral:rRNA from 1 species